rnacentral:rRNA from 1 species
CAAGUCGAGGGGCAGCACGAAUAGCAAUAUUUGGUGGCGACCGGCGCACGGGUGCGUAACACGUAUACAAUCUACCUUCAACAGGGGGAUAGCCUUUCGAAAGAGAGAUUAAUACCCCGUAACAUAUUUAAUGGCAUCAUUGAAUAUUGAAAGCUCCGGCGGUUGAAGAUGAGUAUGCGUCUGAUUAGCUAGUUGGUGAGGUAAUGGCUCACCAAGGCUACGAUCAGUAGGGGAUCUGAGAGGACUAACCCCCACACUGGUACUGAGACACGGACCAGACUCCUACGGGAGGCAGCAGUAAGGAAUAUUGGUCAAUGGAGGCAACUCUGAACCAGCCAUGCCGCGUGCAGGAUGAAGGCCCUAUGGGUCGUAAACUGCUUUUAUACAAGAGAAAACCCUUCCACGUGUGGAAGGCUGAUAGUAUUGUAAGAAUAAGCAUCGGCUAACUUCGUGCCAGCAGCCGCGGUAAGACGAAGGAUGCAAGCGUUAUCCGGAUUCAUUGGGUUUAAAGGGUGCGUAGGCGGACUUGUAAGUCAGUGGUGAAAUCUCUUUGCUUAACAAAGAAACUGCCAUUGAUACUGCAGGUCUAGAGUAUAGAUGACGUUGGCGGAAUAUGACAUGUAGUGGUGAAGUACUUAGAUAUGUCAUAGAACACCGAUUGCGAAGGCAGCUAACGAAACUAUAACUGACGCUAAGGCACGAAAGUGCGGGGAUCAAACAGGAUUAGAUACCCUGGUAGUCCGCACCGUAAACGAUGAUUACUCGUUGUUGGCAAUAUGACCGUCAGCGACCAAGCGAAAGCGAUAAGUAAUCCACCUGGGGAGUACGCCGGCAACGGUGAAACUCAAAGGAAUUGACGG